GUCGAGAAUCUUCCGCAAUGCGCGAAAGCGUGACGGAGCGACACCGCGUGAUGGAUGAAGUCCUUCGGGGCGUAAACAUCUUUUAUAAAGGAGGAAAUUUUUGACGUUACUUUAUGAAUAAGGGGCUCCCAAUCUCGUGCCAGCAGGAGCGGUAAUACGAGAGCAUCAAGCGUUAUCCGGAAUCAUUGGGCGUAAAGGGUGCGUAGGUGGUUUGAUUAGUCUCCCGUUAAAACUUCGAGCUUAACUCGAAAAGAGCGGGGGAAACGGUCAAACUAGAGUAUGUGAGAGGUGUGUGGAACUCAUGGUGUAGGGGUGAAAUCCGUUGAUAUCAUGGGGAACACCAAAAGCGAAGGCAGCACACUGGCACAUCACUGACACUGUGGCACGAAACCUAAGGUAGCGAAUGGGAUUAGAUACCCCGGUAGUCC
rnacentral:rRNA from 1 species